AGAGUUUGAUCCUGGCUCAGGAUGAACGCUAGCGGCAGGCCUAACACAUGCAAGUCGAGGGGCAGCACGUCUUCGGAUGGUGGCGACCGGCGCACGGGUGCGUAACGCGUAUACAAUCUACCUCUUACUAUGGAAUAGCCCAGGGAAACUUGGAUUAAGGCCAUAUAGUACAUAGAAACGGCAUCGUUAUUAUGUUAAAGGUUACGGUAAGAGAUGAGUAUGCGUCCUAUUAGCUUGUUGGUGUGGUAACGGCACACCAAGGCUACGAUAGGUAGGGGCCCUGAGAGGGGGAUCCCCCACACUGGUACUGAGACACGGACCAGACUCCUACGGGAGGCAGCAGUGAGGAAUAUUGGACAAUGGGCGCAAGCCUGAUCCAGCCAUGCCGCGUGCAGGAAGACUGCCCUAUGGGUUGUAAACUGCUUUUGUACGGGAAGAAACACUCCCUCGUGAGGGAGCUUGACGGUACCGUAAGAAUAAGCAUCGGCUAACUCCGUGCCAGCAGCCGCGGUAAUACGGAGGAUGCAAGCGUUAUCCGGAAUCAUUGGGUUUAAAGGGUCCGUAGGCGGAUAAUUAAGUCAGGGGUGAAAGUCUGCAGCUCAACUGUAGGACUGCCCUUGAUACUGGUUAUCUUGAAUCGUUGUGAAGUGGCUAGAAUAUGUAGUGUAGCGGUGAAAUGCAUAGAUAUUACAUAGAAUACCGAUUGCGAAGGCAGGUCACUAACAACGCAUUGACGCUGAGGGACGAAAGCGUGGGGAGCGAACAGGAUUAGAUACCCUGGUAGUCCACGCCGUAAACGAUGGAUACUAGCUGUCCGGCCUUCGGGCUGGGUGGCCAAGCGAAAGUGA
rnacentral:rRNA from 1 species